rnacentral:rRNA from 1 species
CACGUAGGGUGCGAGCGUUGUCCGGAAUUAUUGGGCGUAAAGAGCUCGUAGGUGGUGUGUCGCGUCGGCCGUGAAAACUUGGGGCUUAACUCUGAGCGUGCGGUCGAUACGGGCAUCACUUGAGUUCGGCAGGGGAGACUGGAAUUCCUGGUGUAGCGGUGAAAUGCGCAGAUAUCAGGAGGAACACCGGUGGCGAAGGCGGGUCUCUGGGCCGAUACUGACGCUGAGGAGCGAAAGCAUGGGGAGCGAACAGG